rnacentral:lncRNA from 1 species
UAAAUAACCACUCAAGCCUUUCUGGUACACAUUACUGGACAUGAUUGAACAAAACAAUUGGUAAAAUUUUAACUUAUUUUUCUUUCUUAAUAUUGUCCAGUACCGUAUAAUCCAUUUAUCAUAGUAGUCACCAUUAUACCUAUGCUUGCUUAUCAUUGGCGUUCUAUAUCUCGAGCAUUUCAUACAAUACAUUGCUUGAUUUGCUUCUAUAAUGCAAAGUUUCUCGAUGCAGAAUCCAGGCUUCGACUUCUCACAGGCACAGUUCUCAGGCAGUUGCCCUGAUCCAAGGACCUUCAUGGGUGGGAUCCAUUCAACCUGAGAGUUCUUAGUCUUCAAAAUAAACUGUGCUGAUCACAGAACUGGGUUUAUUUACAUAAUCAAAGGUGUAAUAUGUAAUUGUUGCAGUGCGUAUUUUGAAACCUCUCGUUGUAUUAACAUUUCUUUUUCUUCAGUAUCUCGGUUAUGUGAGUAUCUGCUGGUCCUUGAACUUUAGCGAAAUUUCAUCUUAGCCUCCAUUGGAAAUAGUGUGUGAAUGGAAUUCGUAUGUUGAUAGAAGCAAAUAGUAGAAAAUUGGAUAGUAGUACUUGUGAGCUUAUUGGAAGGUAUGGUUGAAAAUAAAGUCCGACUAUGAUAUAUGAAUUUUCUAACAGAGGCUUAGUCACUUAAAAAUUUAAUUUGUUCUGAUUGAUCUUAAACUUUGUUUCAAGUUUGCUCUGUUCAUGUCUGUUAAUUUGACUAAGGUGGCC